CGGAGAGUCGCGUAGUCUGGUAUCACGCCUGCUUCGGGAGCAGGAGGUCAUAUGUUCGAAUCCUGCCACCCCAACAA
rnacentral:tRNA from 1 species